rnacentral:rRNA from 1 species
CAGAGGUCCCAAGCGUUGUUCGGAUUCACUGGGCGUAAAGGGUGCGUAGGUGGUUGGGUAAGUCUGAUGUGAAAUCUCCGGGCUCAACCCGGAAAUGGCAUUGGAUACUAUUCGGCUAGAGGUUUGGAGGGGGACUGGAAUUCUCGGUGUAGCAGUGAAAUGCGUAGAUAUCGAGAGGAACACCAGUGGCGAAGGCGAGUCCCUGGACAACACCUGACACUGAGGCACGAAAGCUAGGGGAGCAAACAGGAUUAGAUACCCUGGUAGUCCUAGCCGUAAACGGUGCUUGCUUGCUGUAGAAGGAAUCGACCCCUUCUGUGGCGAAGCCAACGCGAUAAGCAAGCCGCCUGGGAAGUACGGUCGCAAGAUUA